rnacentral:rRNA from 1 species
AACGAACGCUGGCGGCAUGCCUAACACAUGCAAGUCGAACGAGAACUCCGGGCUUUGUGGCGCACGGGUGCGUACCGAGUGGGAAGUUGCCCUUAGGUACGGUAUACCUCACCGAAAGGGGUGCUAAUACAGGUUAAUGUCUUAGGACCAAAGAUCUAUCGCUUUUGGAUGGGCCCGCGUUGGAUUCGGUGGUUGGUAGGGUAAAAGCCUACCAAGGCGACGAUCCAGGGCUGGUCUGGGAGGAGGAUUAGCAACACUUGGACUAAGACACGGCCCAGAAUCCUACGGAGGGGAGGAGAGGAGAAUAUAGUGCGAGGGGCGAAAGCCUGAUCCAGCAGUGCCGGGGAAGAGAUGAAUGCCUUAGGGUUGUAAAGCUCUUUUACCCGAGGUGAUAGUGACGGUACCGGGAAAAGAAGCACCGGCUAACUCCGUG